GUGAAGGUCGGCACGUGCACGACUACUAUUGCUUCUAGAAAUAAAAAACAUUUCAAUAAAUUUCAUAGAAUAUCCGUGAAAGGAUAUUUUUUAUAGACAACGCGAUCAUUUGUAUUCUUUUGUAUAUUGUUUUCAAUAAUUUACGCGAAUCGCGAGUGAUUUUUACGAAUGGUUUUUUUCCUUUUUAUUUUAUAAAUGCCGCUUAAUUAUUGAUGGAAAAUUAUUUUUGUUUAAGUUAAACUGUGAUCGUGUGUGAGUCAUCAAUUAGAUUAUUUAUUGUUUAGGAAGAUUAGAUAUUCUUCGUGUCAGAUAUUUGGUUUUUUUUUAAUUAUUAUUUUAUUAUUAGUUUGAAUCGUGCCCAAAAAUUGUCUUAUCUCUCGUUAACGUCAUCUUAUCUUUCUAAUGGACAGUUUCACACCUGGAUGGGAGUAUUAAUAAAAAAAUAACAAAGUGUUAUCUUGUUUGCAACAGAUGGAUUUGCGAUAAGCGAUAUAUAGAAUUGAUCGAAUUUUCGUUGAGUUUAUACGAACGAAAGUAGAACAUUAAAUUUACUUGAAGAAGAAGAAGAAGAAGAAGAAGAAGAAGAAGAUAAAACAAGAUUGUUAUCUAAAAGAUACUGCUUCAAUCAUCAAAAUACGAAAGUGUAUAUCACGAUUACUUCGAUCAUUUUGUAACCUUUGAAACAAGAUAUGUAAAAGGAAAGUAAAUAA